rnacentral:rRNA from 1 species
ACGGAGGGUGCAAGCGUUAUCCGGAAUCACUGGGUUUAAAGGGUGCGUAGGCGGCAUGUUAAGUCAGAGGUGAAAGAUCGGAGCUCAACUCCGAAACUGCCUUUGAUACUGGCAAGCUUGAAUUAGGUUGAGGUUAGCGGAAUGUGACAUGUAGCGGUGAAAUGCUUAGAUAUGUCAUAGAACACCAAUUGCGAAGGCAGCUAACUAGGCCUAUAUUGACGCUCAGGCACGAAAGCGUGGGGAGCAAACAGG